CAGAGGGAGGAGGGGCCUGAACCAUAGCAACUGCCCAUCUCCAUAGGAGAAAUACUCAUACUAUGGCCAAGUUCAAACUGCUACCAAGAUAAUGACCAGCUCACAAAAGGAAAAGCUUGGUAAAUGGUUCUCAUGAGCUAGCAUGAGCCACUUUGGAAUGUGAUCUUCAGCAUGUGAUGGGGUGAGGGCCACCUCCUGGGACAGAAUAAGGCAGGGCCACAGGGCUUCCAGGGACCUCUGCAGUGAGGAGGGCCCGGCAGAGACACCGGCAGGCCUCCAGAACCCAGGACGACCCAGAGGGUCAGCUUCUGGAGAAGCCCUCCCAUGAGAGCCUGGGUUCUCACGAUCUCAAGCCUACCUCAGAUGCUUUCCAGCUUCGUGGACUCGGGGUGGAGGCUGGGCCAGACACCUGCUCUCCACUCUCCCCGCCAUCCACGCCCCCAACCCAGUCCCCUGCCAUGCUUGCCCACUCUGAACCGGGCCCCCGCACUGGCGGGGGAGUGAGCGCGGUGGCUCUCCUCUAUGCUUCCGACGGCCGUGCGCAUGCACCUCCACUUCUCCACCCUCCCUACGCCUGGCGUUGGCGUCGUGAGAGCUUGGCACAGCUGAGGGGUAUGGAACGGGACCACCUCAUCUCCCCAUUGAGACCCAGCAGGAUGGCGGCGACCCCUGCGCAGCACCCCUGACACCCAGGCCGUGCUGGUUGUCCCUCCUCAGCGCCCGGCUCCAGACCUCUUACUUCCUGGCUGUGGCUGAUCCACCACCAGGCCAAGAGGCGCACAAGCUCCACAUCUGAGCCCUGGGUUCAACCAUGGACACA